rnacentral:rRNA from 1 species
CGGAAUCUACCUUUUCGUGGGGGAUAACGUAGGGAAACUUACGCUAAUACCGCAUACGACCUUCGGGUGAAAGCAGGGGACCUUCGGGCCUUGCGCGGAUAGAUGAGCCGAUGUCGGAUUAGCUAGUUGGCGGGGUAAAGGCCCACCAAGGCGACGAUCCGUAGCUGGUCUGAGAGGAUGAUCAGCCACACUGGAACUGAGACACGGUCCAGACUCCUACGGGAGGCAGCAGUGGGGAAUAUUGGACAAUGGGCGCAAGCCUGAUCCAGCCAUACCGCGUGGGUGAAGAAGGCCUUCGGGUUGUAAAGCCCUUUUGUUGGGAAAGAAAAGCAAUCGAUUAAUACUCGGUUGUUCUGACGGUACCCAAAGAAUAAGCACCGGCUAACUUCGUACCAGCAGCCGCGGUAAUACGAAGGGUGCAAGCGUUACUCGGAAUUACUGGGCGUAAAGCGUGCGUAGGUGGUUGUUUAAGUCUGUUGUGAAAGCCCUGGGCUCAACCUGGGAAUUGCAGUGGAUACUGGGCAACUAGAGUGUGGUAGAGGGUAGUGGAAUUCCCGGU